UACGGAGGGGGCUAGCGUUGUUCGGAAUUACUGGGCGUAAAGCGCGCGUAGGCGGAUCUGCAAGUCGGGGGUGAAAUCCCGAGGCUCAACCUCGGAACUGCCUUCGAUACUGCGGGUCUCGAGUCCGGGAGAGGUGAGUGGAAUUCCUAGUGUAGAGGUGAAAUUCGUAGAUAUUAGGAAGAAACACCAGUGGCGAAGGCGGCUCACUGGCCCGGUACUGACGCUGAGGCGGCGAAAAGCGUGGGGAGCAAACAGG
rnacentral:rRNA from 1 species